rnacentral:rRNA from 1 species
GACGAACGCUGGCGGCGUGCCUAAUACAUGCAAGUCGAGCGAAUGGAUUAAGAGCUUGCUCUUAUGAAGUUAGCGGCGGACGGGUGAGUAACACGUGGGUAACCUGCCCAUAAGACUGGGAUAACUCCGGGAAACCGGGGCUAAUACCGGACAACAUUUUGAACCGCAUGGUUCGAAAUCGAAAGGCGGCUACGGGUGUCAAUUAAGGUUGGACUCUGGUCGCAUUAGCUAGUUGGUGAGGUAACGGCUCACCAAGGCAACGAUGCGUAGCCGACCUGAGAGGGUGAUCGGCCACACUGGGACUGAGACACGGCCCAGACUCCUACGGGAGGCAGCAGUAGGGAAUCUUCCGCAAUGGACGAAAGUCUGACGGAGCAACGCCGCGUGAGUGAUGAAGGCUUUCGGGUCGUAAAACCCUGUUGUUAGGGAAGAACAAGUGCUAGUUGAAUAAGCUGGCACCUUGACGGUACCUAACCAGAAAGCCACGGCUAACUACGUGCCAGCAGCCGCGGUAA